rnacentral:rRNA from 1 species
GACGAACGCUGGCGGCGUGCCUAACACAUGCAAGUCGAACGGGGAAGUUAGCAAUAACUUUCUAGUGGCGAACGGGUGAGUAACGCGUAGACAACCAACCUUUUUGUGGGGGACAACACUUCGAAAGGAGUGCUAAUACCGCAUGAGCUCCAGAUGCCGCCUGGCGUUUGGAGGAAAGGAGCUUCACGGCUUCGCAAAAAGACGGGUCUGCGUCUGAUUAGCUAGUUGGAGGGGUAACGGCCCACCAAGGCGACGAUCAGUAGCCGGUCUGAGAGGAUGGACGGCCACACUGGGACUGAGACACGGCCCAGACUCCUACGGGAGGCAGCAGUGGGGAAUCUUCCGCAAUGGACGAAAGUCUGACGGAGCGACGCCGCGUGAGUGAUGAAGGCCCUUGGGUCGUAAAGCUCUGUCAUCAGGGACGAACGGUCACGUCAGGAAAUGGGCGUGAAUUGACGGUACCUGAGAAGGAAGCCACGGGCUAACUACGUGCCAGCAGCCGCGGUAAU